CAACCUUAAUUUAUUAUUCUGGACUCUCAAACAUGUUGAUUUUGCUGGGUGGAUCUGAUCUCAGAUGUGAGCCUUCAGGGAGGAUGAUGUGGGGAAUAACAAACAGACUGACUGAAGGAUAUCUAAGAUCAACUUAACUGGAAUCUCUGAAGGUUUCUGCUCUCUAACAUCAUGGCAACACCUGCAGCAGUGGAGCAGCAGGAACGUUCCAGCAGCUUAGAGCUUCUUCCACCAGACA